rnacentral:lncRNA from 1 species
AAGGUGAGAUAAUGAAAUUGAAAUGAGAUAGUGUGAGGAUAAUGAAGCAUUUGAAAUUCAAAUACGGUACAAAAAAGAGUGGGAAUUAAAAAGACUAUUUUGUGAAGGACACAGUCCCAUCGGUCAGCAAAAGCUAAGGAAAGUAAAAAAAAAAAGUGUAUUUCCUUGUACUUUAACUCAGAUUUGUUUAAGUCAAAGAAAUAAAUGUGCUUAGUCUAAACUGCCCUCACAAAUGCUUACGUGGAAGUCUAAAUUGAAAGGCUAGUAAUGUAAAAUCCUCAGUAUCUUAUUUUCUCAAGUUAUAUCUGGAUAGUUCCCAAUAACAUAUUAAAAUAUUAUUUUAGAUUUCUUUAAAAUUUUACAUUGGUGAUUUAUAUAAGGCAAAAUAAUUGUCCCUUAACUUGAUUUCCGUUAACACUUN